GGAGGUUCAAUCGUGCAGACUCUUAGACUUGGUCUUAGCGUACCCAGCUAGCAUCGUACAUGGAUGAACGAACAAGGAGGCCGCGGCCACGGACGGCGCGUCCGAAUGGGAGCGUCACGUAGAACUACGGAUAAUGAAAAGUCUUAGAGACAGCCGAUGGAAGCUUC
ncrna:unclassified sequences TwoGGAY RNA